GAUGAAGAACGUAGCGAAAUGCGAUAAGUAGUGUGAAUUGCAGAAUUCAGUGAAUCAUCGAAUCUUUGAACGCACAUUGCGCCCCUUGGUAUUCCGGGGGGCAUGCCUGUCCGAGCGUCAUUACAACCCUCAAGCUCAGCUUGGUGUUGGGCCCCGCCGCCCCGGCGGGCCCUAAAGUCAGUGGCGGUGCCGUCCGGCUCCGAGCGUAGUAAUUCUUCUCGCUCUGGAGGUCCGGUCGUGUGCUCGCCAGCAACCCCCAAUUUUUUUCAGGUUGACCUCGGAUCAGGUAGGGAUACCCGCUGAACUUAAGCAUAUCAAUAAGCGGAGGA
rnacentral:misc_RNA from 1 species